AUGCCGAUAUCGACGAGAAAUCCAGAGAAACAAAUUCAGAUUUGUAACGAUGACGACAAAUUCCGAUGCUACAUGAAGAUGAUGAAGAAGAUGACUCAAUUGCAAGGUCCGCACGGUUGGAGGAGAUUUAGGCGAGUUUCAUGGCAUCUAGAAUGUAUAUAUGAGAUGAAGAUCGGUGCGAAAGAUGCAAUAGUGUCAUAUAUUCGCAAGACUUAUGUUAUAGCUCUUUUUUGUUUAUUGAGGUUUCUUUAUUUGUGA